ACUACGGGUGGCAGCAGUGAGGAAUAUUGGUCAAUGGGCGGAAGCCUGAACCAGCCAAGUAGCGUGCAGGAUGACGGCCCUACGGGUUGUAAACUGCUUUUAUACGGGAAUAACGCGCCUUACGUGUAGGGCUUUGCAUGUACCGUAUGAAUAAGGACCGGCUAAUUCCGUGCCAGCAGCCGCGGUAAUACGGAAGGUCCGGGCGUUAGCCGGAUUCAUUGGGUUUAAAGGGAGCGUAGGCCGCAUGUCAAGCGUGCUGUGAAAUGUCCGGGCUCAACCCGGGCCUUGCAGCGCGAACUGGCGUGCUUGAGUCCGCGGAAAGCAGGCGGAAUUCGUCGUGUAGCGGUGAAAUGCUUAGAUAUGACGAAGAACCCCGAUUGCGAAGGCAGCUUGCUGCAGCGGAACUGACGCUGAUGCUCGAAAGCGCGGGUAUCGAACAGGAUUAGAUACCCCUGUAGUC
rnacentral:rRNA from 1 species